rnacentral:lncRNA from 1 species
UGAAAUACCCCAAUCAGGAAUAUAUACCCCCCUGGGGUGAGUUAACUUUGGAAGAAUUCAGUUAUGAGCCUUACUCCAAAAAAUUAUCCAUUUUCCCCUACCGAUUUACAAUGCCACAUUUAUCAUGUAUUAAAUGAUCUUAUAUUUAUGAAUCUAUUACUAUACUUUGUAUUCUAUUCUAUUGAUAUAUUUGUCUACUUUUGUACCAAUACCACAGUUUUAAAAAAAUGACUGGUGUUUUGAUAUGUAGUAGAAAAAUAUCCUCGUAUUGUUUUCAUUUAGGGUGGACUGAACUGGUCCUGGCAGUCAGAUUCUGGCUCCAGAGUGGGCAGAAGAGAGAAACCACACCUCUUAUAAACCGUCAUCAAAGAUUAGCCCUGCCGAGAUGUGCUGCACCUAAUGAUGGCCCCUGGACCUGCAUACAGUAUUCCAGACAUAACCAAGAAUGCAGCCGUGAGGCUGACAGUGGACGGGCCAUCUGCAGCCCAUGUUGCAGCCAGGGCAUGACAACUUUCUCCAGGGGUGCAGAGCAGAGAGAUGGCUACAGCAGCUGGGGUGCCUGUGUGAGCAAGACAAGAUCAUAA